AAAAGGAUCUGAACAUGGCGGCAUGGAUCGUAAAACUGUUCUUGGAGGGUUGGGUGAAGGACUCACACAAUGAUGACGUAAUCGGGUGGUCGGGGGCUGUUUGGUGACAGAGAUUUUGGUGUGACACUGGGCUGUGCACAGAAAUGCGAUACACAUCAAGUGCCCGCUAUCGUUUUUUGCCCAUUUCUGGUGUUGAGG
ensembl:ncRNA F12D9.12 ncRNA